UACGUAGGGUGCAAGCGUUAUCCGGAAUUAUUGGGCGUAAAGAGCUCGUAGGCGGUUUGUCGCGUCUGCUGUGAAAACCCGAGGCUCAACCUCGGGCCUGCAGUGGGUACGGGGCAGACUAGAGUGCGGUAGGGGAGAUUGGAAUUCCUGGUGUAGCGGUGGAAUGCGUAGAGAUCGGGAAGAACAUCAGUGGCGAAGGCGGUCUGCUGGGCCGUUGCUGACGCUGAGGCGCGA
rnacentral:rRNA from 1 species